CAGGAGGAGGCAGGAGUGGUUUGCUGCAAAAUAGUGUGUGUUCAAUGUUCAUCUAGCUAUAGCUUAGGACUACAGCAACAAAUUGCAAUUCUGUAUGAGAAAAGAAACAGGCUGACUGUUCUCAGCAUCUCCAGGGACUCUGGAUAGAAAAGCAGAGGAGAGGCUCUGGCAGCAGCACCCCGAGGCCAUUUUCACAGGGGUCCUGGAGGAAAUCUGUCAGAAAGCCUUCCUGGGACAUCAGUGCAGGCACUGACUAUGUCAGUAAUAUUACUACCACAUUAAAAAUACAGCCCAAGAACCUCUGUGAUUAAGUGCCUUCCUACAAAUAUCAACAUGAUGAAAGGAUGGAGCAGGAAACUCACCACCAAGGCAUUGUAUUGCAGUAGACUCCAAGCUGACUUGAUAUACAUGGAGUUAAAUUAGACACAUAGAGGGGUACAUAGCAGCGUCCUGUGAAAUGACCAUCAGGUCCCUCGUUCAUCCCCAGUUUAUACAAGCACAAGGGUUUGUAUUGCCCUUUAUUGAAUUUCAGGAGAUUCUUGUCUCUUUUCUUCAACUUGUUGAGGCACAUCC